rfam:Lepisosteus oculatus linkage group LG3, whole genome shotgun sequence.
GUAGGAUAUGGUGACAUGGUUCCCACUACCAUUGGAGGCAAGAUUGUGGGGUCACUCUGUGCCAUUGCUGGUGUACUGACCAUUGCCCUGCCUGUGCCUGUCAUCGUGUCCAAC